rnacentral:lncRNA from 1 species
CGGCCACCCGGAGCCUCGUCACGAGUCUUACCCAGGGUUCGGAGCGGGCCUGCAAGAAGGGGCAGGCCAGGCUGGGGCUGCAAGGCAGGGUCUUCCCUUGGAGAAGGGACCUGACUCUAUUAUUAAGAGAACGAAAGAGGCACUUGCCCUACAGUGUUGUGUGCAUAGUGGAUGUGCAGCCAGCAUUGGCUCAUGUGUGAAGGAGCAUACACUCCUGGAAAGUCUGAGCAUGUCCAUACGCAUCAUCUCACUGGGCCCCUGCAGCUCACUGAAAGAAGAGGCAGACGCCUGCCCCAACUGCCCAGAGCCCUACUGGCUGAGCGGAUCCCUAAUGUCCUUAGUUAAGCUCUCACCCUGCAUGACUGUUUUCCUCAGAAGAAGGCACUAGUGGGGACACCUUUUCCUGGGGUCUCUAUGCAGGGAAUGGGCUGGAUGUGUACAGACCUGGCCACCAUGCCUUUGGGGGCUGGUGUCACGGCCAGGCCAUGACUCUAAAGAAUGAGGGGGGCUGGGUGAGGUGGCUCACGCCUGUAAUCCCGGCACUUUGGGAGGCCUAGGCAAGUGAUCCACUUUAAAAGUCAACUUUAAAGUGAUUAAAGUGAUCCAGUUUAAAGGUCAAGAGUUCGAGACCAGCCUGGCCAACAUGGUGAAACCCCGUCUCUACUAAAAAUACAAAAAAUUAGCUGGGUGUGGUGUCACAUGCCUGUAGUCCCAACGACUCGGGAGGCUGAGACAGGAGAACUGCUUGAAUCCGGAAGGCGGAGGUUGCAGUGAGCCGAGAUCAUGCCGCUGCACUCAAGCCUGGGCAACAACAGCAAUACUCUGUCAAAAAAAAAAAAAAAGAAAAAAAGACUGAGGUGGAAGGAGGGCUUCCUUAGGAAAAGUGGCCUGCUGAGAGGAUGAGGGGUGCAGAACGCCACUGUGCUAGAGCCUGUCCUGUUUGGAUUCCCCCAGAAGCCGGCCGUGAUGAUGUGGGUGCUUACUAGUUUGGGAUGUGAUGGCAGGAAGCGCUAGCAGUGAGUGGGGCUGAGGCAGCGGAUGGGGACACUAUUAGGCCAUUUGCUCCUAUCAGGGGUGGCCUUCAGUCUCCCUGUGAGGCUCCAAGAGGCUAUCUAGAGCAUUCCUGAGUUAUCCACACCUGGGGAAAGGAAGUUGGGCCAUAUAUUUAACAUUCAUCAUGGGCCGAGGGCUGCUUUCAGAGGCUGUAAGUGUCACGCACUCCUGGCCUAUCCUGAGAAUGAACUGAGGAUGCUGCAAUGCCCAGAAAAAGGUCUUAGGAGAGACCCCUAACAACGUGAAAGGUCACUGGGUGGUUUGCUCGUCUUCUGAAAAAUACAUACCUGUCAUCGGUUAUUUGCUGAUCUUUUGUAAAUGGUUGAUCUUUUCUUUCUGUUGCUUCCAACUUCCCUGGUAACAUGUCUAUUGCAGAUUUCUUUUUAUUUAUCCCUUUUUAGGGCCAACUGCCUCCUGGAUCUGAGGCUUAGCACCUUCAAAUAAUUGUAGAAUAUCUCAGGCUUUAUCUCUUCAAAUUUUGCUUUUUCUUCAUUUCCCUAUUAUUCCUUCUUGGAAUCUAGUUAUGUUAAAUCUUCUCAAUCUCCCUUCCAUGACUCUCCCUCUUCAAAAUAUAUUUUUAAAUCUUUUUGAUUUAUUGUUUGGUUGGAUUCUGCAUAAUUUCUUCAGAUAUAUCUUAUAUUUCCUCAGUUAUUUUUUUGUGGCAGCUUUUCUGCUGUCCAUUGAGUUUUUAACUUCAAUUACUAUAUAAUUCAUUUUUAGAAGGGUUGUUCGUCUAUCUGUUCCCCCUUCAAGUCUGCCUGUUAAUUUUUAUAGUGUCUUUUUAAUUGUUCAUAUUUCUAAGUCUCUCUUUUAUUUCUUUAAACCCUUUAAACUUACUUCACAUUCUGUGUCUGAUCCGAAGUCUGGGUCUGAUUCUGCCUUUUCUCUUGGUUCUCUGUCAUAUUAUUUCCUUGUGAGUUUUGACAUUUUUUUCACAGUAAGCUGACCAAUUUCCUUGAACUUUAUCUGUUGGAAUUUCUUGAAGCUUUAUGACUUCCUUCAUUUGAAUUCAUUUCUUCUAGUCUUCUAGGGGCUCUACCCAUCUGGCAUCACUUUUUAAAUUUAAAAUUUAUCCACUGGGCGCAGUGGCUCACGCCUGUAAUCCCAGCACUUUGGGAGGCCGAGGCAGGAGGAUCACCUGAGGUCAGGAGUUUGAGACCAGCCUGGUCAACAUGGUGAAACCCCAUGUCUACUACAAAUACAAAAAGUAGCUGGGCCUGGUG